AAAAGAUCACUAUGUAAAAGAAACGGUAGGAGAAAACAUUUGCAACACAUCUGAUAAAUGGUUAACACUAAUUGGUAAGAAAAUGACACACUGCCCAAUGAAAACUAGAAAAAAUCGCCGAAGCCGGUUUGGCUCAGUGGAUAGAGCGUUGGCCUGUGGACUGAA